CCUACGGGAGGCAGCAGUGGGGAAUAUUGGGCAAUGGGCGCAAGCCUGACCCAGCAAUGCCGCGUGAAGGAAGAAGGCCCUCGGGUUGUAAACUCUCUUGACAGGGGAAGCGCAGCAGACGGUACCCUGAAAACAAGCCACGGCUAACUACGUGCCAGCAGCCGCGGUACUUCGUAGGGGGCACGCUUUUUCCGGAUUUACUGGGUGUAAAGGGCGUGUAGGCGGGAAUGCAAGUCAGAUGUGAAAUCUGGAGGGUCAACCUCCAAAUUGCAUUUGAAACUGUUUUUCUUGAGUACUGGAGAGGCAGACGGAAUGCCUGGUGUAGCGGUGAAAUGCGUAGAUAUAAGGAGGAACACCAGUGGCGAAGGCGGUAUGCUGGACAGCGACUGACGGUGAGGCGCGAAAGCGUGGGGAGCAAACAGGAUUAGAUACCCUAGUAGUC
rnacentral:rRNA from 1 species